GAUGAACGCUGGCGGCGUGCUUAACACAUGCAAGUCGAACGGAAAGGCCACAGAUUGCUGUGGUACUCGAGUGGCGAACGGGUGAGUAACACGUGGGUGAUCUGCCCUGUACUUCGGGAUAAGCUUGGGUAACUGGGUCUACUACCGGAUAGGAAUCACACGUGGGUGUGUGGUUGGAAAGCUUUUGCGGUAUGGGAUGAGCUCGCGGCCUAUCAGCUUGUUGGUGGGGUAAUGGCCUACCAAGGCGUCGACGGGUAGCCGGCCUGAGAGGGUGUACGGCCACAAUGGGACUGAGAGACGGCCCAGACUGCUACGGGAGGCAGCAGUGGGGAAUAUUGCACAAUGGGCGCAAGCCUGAUGCAGCGACGCCGCGUGGGGGAUGACGGCCUUCGGGUUGUAAACUCCUUUCGUCAGGGACGAAGCGAAAGUGACGGUACCUGGAUAAGAAGCACCGGCUAACUACGUG
rnacentral:rRNA from 1 species